rnacentral:rRNA from 1 species
AAAGGAAUUGACGGGGGCCCGCACAAGCAGCGGAGCAUGUGGUUUAAUUCGAAGCAACGCGAAGAACCUUACCAGGUCUUGACAUCCAGUUAAAGCUAAGGAAAGUUAGUGUCUCUUCGGAGGAACUGAGACAGGUGGUGCAUGGUUGUCGUCAGCUCGUGUCGUGAGAUGUUGGGUUAAGUCCCGCAACGAGCGCAACCCUUGCGAUUGGUUGCUAACAGGUAAAGCUGAGGACUCCAAUAGGACUGCCGGGGACAACUCGGAGGAAGGUGGGGACGACGUCAAAUCAUCAUGCCCCUUAUGACCUGGGCUACACACGUGCUACAAUGGCCACUACAAAGAGGUGCGAAAUCGUGAGAUGGAGCAGAUCUGUAAAAAGUGGUCCCAGUUCAGAUUGUGGGCUGCAACCCGCCCACAUGAAGUCGGAGUUGCUAGUAAUCGCGGAUCAGCAUGCCGCGGUGAAUACGUUCCCGGGCCUUGUACACACCGCCCGU